AAUUCUCUGAGAGGUUUGCCAUUGUUUGCGCCGACUAAACUACUUCUGCUGCACUCGUUCUUCUUUUGAUUAUAACAAGAGUGCCCAGGCGUCAGUGUGAAUUUGACGCAG